rnacentral:rRNA from 1 species
AAUCAACGCUGGCGGCAUGCCUGACACAUGCAAGUCGAGCGAGAAAGUGUAGCAAUACAUGAGUACAGCGGCGCACGGGUGAGUAACACGUGGAUAACCUGCCUCAAAGUGGGGAAUAACACCGGGAAACCGGUGCUAAUACCGCAUAUUCUGACUGAGUCUGCGGAUUUGGUCAGGAAAGGAGCAAUUCGCUAUGAGAGGGGUCCGCGGCUGAUUAGCUAGUUGGUGAGGUAAUGGCUCACCAAGGCUACGAUCAGUAGCCGGUCUGAGAGGACGGUCGGCCACACUGGAACUGAGACACGGUCCAGACUCCUACAGGAGGCAGCAGUGGGGGAAUUUUUCGCAAUGGGGGAAACCCUGACGAAGCAAUGCCGCGUGGAUGAUGAAGUCUCUUGGGACGUAAAAUCCUUUCGACAGGGACGAAACCGCAAGGUUGACGGUACCUGUAGAAGAAGCCCCGGCUAACUCCGUGCCAGCAGCCGCGGUAAUAC